rnacentral:misc_RNA from 1 species
GUGAAUCAUCGAAUUUUUGAACGCAAAUUGCACUCUCUGGUAUUCCGGAGAGUAUGCCGGUUUGAGGGUAAGUUUAAAUAAAAAUGGGGGGGGUUGCUGCCUUUCGUGGUGAGGCACCGGAUUUGGGUCGUCUGGCCUUCGGUUAGGUGGCUUAAAAUUUUGCAGGAUUUUUUGGAACGUAUUUAAAUGACUUUACGUACGUUGGGGAUAUCGAAUACUGGGUGGGGUAUUCCUC